AAUUAAAUGCGGUGGAGAGAAGUCAUCUGUUAAUACCUUCUUACCCAGAGCUAAAAGUGUGCUUGCGUAUCCCCUCUGUUGAAGGAACUGGCUGAUCUAACAGAGAAAGCUGAAAGCUGCUUCAAGGCUGCAGCUCUGGCCACAGGAUGCAAAGUCAAAUUAAAAAGCGAGUAUUCAGAUUACUACAAUAUGCUUCAAAGUAAAUCCCUGGAGCAAACCUAUGUGGGAAAAUGGGAAGAGUUUCAGGAUGGAGUUUUCAGGUUCCACCAACUUUGGGAAUGUUUCCCAUGUUGUUCCAGGAAUUCAUCCUUUUUAUAUACUGGUUCAAAUGCUCUGAAUCAUAUUGAGGAAUUCACUCAAGCAUCAUGGUCAGAAUCAGCACAGCAAUACGCCUUGCGUAUAGCUAAAGCAUUAGCAAUGACUGCACUCACUGUUAUCUUUAGAUCAGGCCUACUGGAUCAAGUCCCGGAGGAUUACAGACAAGCAAAGCUAGAAGGUCAGGAGUCCUGAAGUGUGAAAGGGAAAGCCUGUUUUUCUUCCUGUAAGCUCAAAAUGCUUUGACUCUUCAAAAUACCAUUUCUGACUGCACACCACUAGUUCAUAACUUUAAUACUGUAAUUUCAUCAAUAGCUACAAAUUCUGGAAUUCAGACUGUUUGUACAUAGCCUAACACUGUCUAACUUUACCGAUCUCUUUGAGUGAAUGCAGCAUUGCACAAAGUUCUUUUCCAUACUUUUGCUUUUCAUUUUGGUUAAUAUAAAGUAUGUCAGUGGAUUCAUAAGGCACUGGAAAUCGUGUAUCUGAAGGUGGUUAAAUCCAGGGAAAUAUUUUAUUACUAUGAGCGUUCUUCUAUUUCAUGAUCCUUUCUCCGUAGCUCAAGAGUUGCCUUCUAGCUGAAUUUUCUUUUCAUCUAAUGUGGAAAGUUUUAUAUUCUGCUCAAUUUUAACAGCUGAAUCUAGACCUGUUGUCAUAAGCUGCCUGCAUAAAGAUAUAGAUUUCAUGUUAUCAACUUGCCUGUUCCAGCCAUUUGACACGUGAAGUUUAAGCCCAAAUUGAAAACCUUUUUACAUGCUCAGUCCUGACCUUUACAAUGUACUGAGAUCUAUAACAACAACCAUCAGUCAUGCCUCGUGAUUUUAUAGUAAAUGUUCAUUCCAACAAAAAAAUUAAGCACUCUGACAGUAUAAUCCUAUAUCUCUCUACUCAAAAGUAUAUUCCACUGAGUUCAAUGAAACUUUCUCCCUGUGAAGGCCUCCCAACAAACAUGGGAUUGUUCAGAUUCCCUUUCCUGAGACCAUAGACACUCAGGAGAGGCCCUCUGAGUUCUGAUCCCCUGCCUCUUUUCAGCCACCAUGGAAAAGAAAUGCCGAAGUCACAAAACGUGGCCUCAGAAAAAGGGAAAAGAGGGCAUUCUGGUAGGACAAAUCCAGCUGUCCAGCAGGGCAUUCAGUACUUGGAAGCCUCUGAGAUUAGAGGCUUCCUUAUAUGUCUCUUAAUGUCUUCAAAGCUACUUGGUUCUAAAACAAGGAUUCUAUCAUCAGCAUAAAAAGUGAUUAUUUUGGCAAUUUAAGAUUUUUUAAGGGCAAAACAUUGGCUUUUUGUUCUGUUGCAAUGAUUUUGAGUGCAGAAAUACACCUUGAUUUCACCCCUUUACAUAAAACAUGUAAAUAAAAUUAAUGUACGCUAUUAUCUUUCUGUGAUUUAUACUUUAGAGAUCUUGGGUUAGAUCCUGUUGUUUUUCUGCCAGUGGGAACAUUCCUUAAACAGCAUUCUGCUCAGAAUAGUCCUACCAGCAGAAAGUAGAGGGAGGAGACCUGUGCUGAUUCCUCCCUCUCACAGCUUCCUCAGUGCCAUUUCCACUGUUCUGGAAGGUUCCCUAACCUUCUGAAGAUUUGGAGGGGAAUAAAGAGACUGCAGGAGGAAGGGAAAUCAAUGGUUGCUGUUGCCUCCAUUCGGCCAGUGAGAUUUCUCUGCUGGAUCAGAAACCUUCAGCAGAUGGAAGGCGGGUUCUGGAUCCACCCCCUUGCAAUGUAUCUUACUUCAAAUAUUUAUGGGCUAAAUUCUGAUGGCCUCUGUAUAUUUAAGUUGGAGAAGUUUCUGUAAGGAAUGGUAGUGAAAGGGCUUCAUGUAAACAGAACAUAUCUGCAGUGCUGCUUAUGGUCUCUGUAGCAUUCUGAAGUCUGUUACACUACCUUAAUGAGAAUAGCUUGUUCAAUACAGUGAAUAAUUUAAUUCAGGGAUGGAGAACAUCAUGCCCAGGGGGCCAAAUCCAGAGUUUCCCAAAUGACCACACCUGCUCCCAACCCCAAAUAAUAUGUUUUCCCUGCUUUUGUGUAGAUUUUUUUCCUAUUCUAAAAGGUUCAAAUGCUUUUUCUAAGGCUUAUUGGCAGUAAGAGCUUUAAGGUACAAUAUGCUGGUAUUUUUUGCUUCUACCCCUUUUGUUCCUCCCCCUUUGCCUUCAGCCUUGCCAUUCACUGGAAUGUGGCUCUUGAGAGUAUCAAAACUGAAUUUGGUUCUCUGGCUGAAGGGGUGCCCACCUGUGAUUUAAUUAUUGCUAUUGUAAUUUUUGUAAACCGCCCAGAGAGCUUCGGCUGUUGGGCGGUAUAAAAAUGAAAUAAAUAAAUACUGUAACAGUCCGGUGCAAUUGUUACAUUGCUGCUUUAGAAAACUGUUUCAGUGCAAAUGUACCUCAAUAAGAAGUAUUGAAACAUCUCUAUGAUUCCUGUAGUAGCUCCACUUCAAAAUCCUGUGGGACUACUUCUAGCUUACUCUAUAGUAGUAUUAAUUCAGUAACUGCGUAAUCCUAUAUGCAUGUCCACUCAGGAGUAAGUCCUAUUUAAUUCAGUGAUGUGUACUCCCAGGUAAAUGUGCAUAGAUUGCAACCUAAAUGUUCUUCUUAAAAUAACAUUUGGCCUUAUUGUGGGGUAAACAGUAUUGUUAUAACUUUAAAAUCAUUGAGCUGUUUGGGAGGGUGAUAUCAAAGCACCAAAAUAUGAUUAGUUAGCAAUAAUGCAGAGAACACUCUGUGUGUGUGUGUGUGUGUGUGUGUGUAAGCAAAAAAGUUGACAUUUCUACUUCUGUUAAUAGUGUUGAUAAAAGUGUUUUACAAUAUUUUGUUUUGCAAUCUUAGCUAUUUACACAAAUAUUUAAAAUGUACAGUAUUUUAUAUUUUUACAAAUGGAAAAAAGUAUUAAUAUGGCCCAUCAUUUCUGUAAUUAAAACACAGAUGUCAAAGCUAGCAAUUUCAAAAUGAGAUUUUUAAAAAUUCCUUAUUUUUGUAGCCACAUAAAUACAAUGUUCUGUACUUUAGUAAUGUUU